UGGGGAAUAUUGCACAAUGGGGGAAACCCUGAUGCAGCAACGCCGCGUGAACGAAGAAGGUAUUCGUAUCGUAAAGUUCUGUCCUAUGGGAAGAUAAUGACAGUACCAUAGAAGAAAGCUCCGGCUAAAUACGUGCCAGCAGCCGCGGUAAUACGUAUGGAGCGAGCGUUGUCCGGAAUUAUUGGGCGUAAAGGGUACGCAGGCGGUUUAAUAAGUCGAAUGUUAAAGAUCGGGGCUCAACCCCGUAAAGCAUUGGAAACUGAUAAACUUGAGUAGUGGAGAGGAAAGUGGAAUUCCUAGUGUAGUGGUGAAAUACGUAGAUAUUAGGAGGAAUACCAGUAGCGAAGGCGACUUUCUGGACACAAACUGACGCUGAGGUACGAAAGCGUGGGGAGCAAACAGG
rnacentral:rRNA from 1 species